UAAAUAAUUUAAUAAUUCAUUUAUUUAUUUAUUAAUAAAUAAUCGUGGAAACCAAAAGAAGAAGAAGAAGUGUGUGUGUUACGAUAAGACAUUUGAUGAGAUAAUAAUUGAUUAAUUUGAUCAUUGAAAUAAAUCAUUAUCAUUCAACAACAAAAAAAGAAACCGGAGGAAGUGUUACGUUAAAAAAAUUGGAUAAGAUAAUAACUUAUUAAUGUGAUCAUAGACAAAAAACGAAGAAUAAUAAUAGUUAAAUGAAGUUUAUGUGGAAGAUACUUUUGUGGAAUCAGUGAAUAUUCGAUUAUGAAUUUGAAAA
rnacentral:lncRNA from 1 species